GACGAACGCUGGCGGCGUGCUUAACACAUGCAAGUCGAACGGAAAGGCCCUGCGUUUGUGGCGUGCUCGAUUGGCGAACGGGUGAGUAACACGUGAGUAACCUGCCCUUGUCUUUGGGAUAACUUCAGGAAACUGGGGCUAAUACCGCAUAGGAUCUCUUGCUGCAUGGUGGUGGUUGGAAAGUUUCGGCGGUUGUGGCUGGACUCGCGGGUUAUCAGCUUGUUUGGGAGGUAGUGGCUUACCAAGGCUUUGACGGGUAGCCUGCCUGGGAGGGUGAACGGCCACCAUGGGACUGAGAUAGGGACCAGACUCCUACGGGCGGCAGCAGUGGAAAAUCUUGCGCAAUGGGCGCAAGCCUGAUACAGAAACGCCGGGUGCGGGAUGCCGGCCUUCGGGUUAUAAACCGCUUUGGACUGUGACGAAGAGUGAGUGACGGUAAUGGGUAAGAAAGCACCGGCUAACUACGUG
rnacentral:rRNA from 1 species